rnacentral:rRNA from 1 species
GACGAACGCUGGCGGCGUGCUUAACACAUGCAAGUCGAACGAUGAUGCCCAGCUUGCUGGGUGGAUUAGUGGCGAACGGGUGAGUAACACGUGAGUAACCUGCCCCUGACUCUGGGAUAAGCGUUGGAAACGACGUCUAAUACUGGAUAUGACUACCGGCCGCAUGGUCUGGUGGUGGAAAGAUUUUUUGGUUGGGGAUGGACUCGCGGCCUAUCAGCUUGUUGGUGAGGUAAUGGCUCACCAAGGCGACGACGGGUAGCCGGCCUGAGAGGGUGACCGGCCACACUGGGACUGAGACAAGGCCCAGACUCCUACGGGAGGCAGCAGUGGGGAAUAUUGCACAAUGGGCGAAAGCCUGAUGCAGCAACGCCGCGUGAGGGAUGACGGCCUUCGGGUUGUAAACCUCUUCUAGUAGGGAAGAAGCGAAAGUGACGGUACCUGCAGAAAAAGCACCGGCUAACCACGUGCCAGCCGCCGCGGUAA